rnacentral:rRNA from 1 species
UACGAAGGGGGGCUAGCGUUGCUCGGAAUCACUGGGCGUAAAGCGCACGUAGGCGGAUUGCUAAGUCAGGGGUGAAAUCCUGGAGCUCAACUCCAGAACUGCCUUUGAUACUGGAGAGCUUGAGUCCGGAAGAGGUGAGUGGAACUCCGAGUGUAGAGGUGAAAUCGUAGAUAUUCGGAAGAACACCAGUGGCGAAGGCGGCUCACUGGUCCGGUACUGACGCUGAUGUGCGAAAGCGUGGGGAGCAAACAGG